UUGAAUUGAAGAGUUUGAUCAUGGCUCAGAUUGAACGCUGGCGGCAGGCCUAACACAUGCAAGUCGAACGGUAACAGGAAGCAGCUUGCUGCUUUGCUGACGAGUGGCGGAC
rnacentral:rRNA from 1 species